rnacentral:rRNA from 1 species
UACAGAGGUCCCAAGCGUUGUUCGGAUUCAUUGGGCGUAAAGGGUGCGUAGGUGGCGUCGUAAGUCGGGUGUGAAAUUUCGGAGCUUAACUCCGAAACUGCAUUCGAUACUGCGGUGCUUGAGGACUGGAGAGGAGACUGGAAUUUACGGUGUAGCAGUGAAAUGCGUAGAGAUCGUAAGGAAGACCAGUGGCGAAGGCGGGUCUCUGGACAGUUCCUGACGCUGAGGCACGAAGGUCAGGGGAGCAAACGGG